AUUCCAGCUCCAAUAGCGUAUAUUAAAGUUGUUGCAGUUAAAAAGCUCGUAGUUGGAUUUCUGGUGGGAGCGAUCGGUCUGGCGCUUAGCGCGAGUACUUGCAUCGUCUCCGGCCAUCCUUGGGGAGAGUUUGUCUGGCAUUAAGUUGUCGGGCAGAGGAUCCUCAUCGUUUACUGUGAAAAAAUUAGAGUGUUCAAAGCAGGCUUAUGCCGUUGAAUAUAUUAGCAUGGAAUAAUAAGAUAGGACUUUGGUACUAUUUUGUUGGUUUGCGCACCAAAGUAAUGAUUAAUAGGGACAGUUGGGGGUAUUCGUAUUCCGUUGUCAGAGGUGAAAUUCUUGGAUUUACGGAAGACGAACUACUGCGAAAGCAUUUACCAAGGAUGUUUUCAUCA
rnacentral:rRNA from 1 species